rnacentral:lncRNA from 1 species
CACCAUAUUAUGCUGUAUCAAACCUGAAAAAACAAAAAAGAACACUGAUACAAAAACCUAAUUCCUAACCACAGGUCAACACCACCAUCACAUGACUUGAAAGAUAAACCAUCACAUGACUUGAAAGAUGAGCUCCAUUAUGGCUGUUGUAGCUCAUACCUUAUGGCCUCGAGCUUUACUUCUUCUUUGCAGCAGACUUGGUGACCUUGGCACCACUAGGGUCCUUCUUCUCAACACUCUUGAUGACUCCCACAGCCACCGUCUGUCUCAUGUCUCUGACAGCAAAACGACCAAGAGGAGGAUACUGAGAGAAAGUCUCAACCACCAUAGGCUUGGUGGGAAUCAUCUUCACAAAUCCAGCAUCACCAUUCUUAAGGAACUUAGGCUCCUUCUCAAGCUCCUUGCCAGAUCGCCUGUCAAUCUUGGUGAGGAUCUCAGCGAAUUUGACAGCAAUGUGAGAGGUGUGGCAAUCAAGCACAGGGGCAUAACCAUUACCAAUCUGACCCGGGUGAUUCAUGAUGAUGACCUGAGAAGUGAAGCUGGCAGCCUCCUUUGCAGGAUCAUCCUUUGAGUUGGAGGCAACAAAACCACGCUUGAGAUCUUUGACAGCAACAUUCUUAACGUUAAAUCCUACAUUGUCACCAGGGAGAGCCUCUUGCAAGGCUUCAUGGUGCAUCUCAACAGAUUUAACUUCAGUAGUCAGUCCACUUGGCCCAAAGGUGACAACCAUACCAGGCUUGAGGAUACCAGUCUCAACACGUCCAACGGGGACAGUACCAAUGCCACCAAUCUUGUAGACAUCCUGAAGUGGGAGGCGAAGGGGCUUAUCGGAGGGCCUCUUGGGCUCCUGGAUCAUGUCAAGAGCCUCAAGAAGUGUUGGGCCCUUGUACCAAUCUAAGUUUGUGGACCUCUCGAUCAUGUUGUCACCUUCAAAACCGGAGAUGGGAACAAAAGGAAUCUUCUCAGGAUUGUAACCUACCUUCUUCAGGUAGGAGGACACUUCUUUAACAAUUUCAUCAUACCUUGCCUUGGAGUACUUUGGUGUAGUUGCAUCCAUCUACCAAAAUUCCAACAACACCAAGAUAAUUUUUUUUUCAAAAAAAGAAACAUAUUAGAGCAGUUUCAGAAUGACUCUCAACUAUCUAUGGGUCAUAAUGUAGGCAGAGAUAUUUGAAACACUUUUAAGGACAACCAUUCCAGAAAGGGACACUGGAAGCCAAUUUGGAAUUUGGAUAAGCAUCUAUACACAUGCAUAUGCAGGGAUAGAAAGGAUGGCUACAAGGUAGCAGAAAAUGUGCUGUUUGAAAGCAAAUUCAGACCAACGACAAAAUCAGAUAAUUGGACUUUGGUGAGAAAAAAGGGAAAUAAUUUGUGAGGAAAGAUGUAAUGAGAGGUUGAAACCAGAAAAUAAUAUAUCUAAGCUGUAAACCAUCGAGCCAAACAAACCAAAAUUAUGAUCAGUCAACAUUAGCAUACCCAAAAAAUUCUGAAAAAUGAAAAAUUGAACUAAACAUCAUAAAACCACACACACACAGAGAGAGAGAGAGAGAGAGAGAGAGCAGCAAAGAGCAUUCACGAUAAGAUCAAGGAUAACUACUGCUUUCAAAAAGCAUAUGGGAGAAGGAACAACAAGUUGGUUUCAGACUUCUUACCUUGUUGCAACAGCAAAUCAUCUGCUUCACACCAAGGGUAAAGGCAAGCAAAGCAUGCUCACGGGUCUGCCCAUCCUUAGAUAUACCAGCCUCAAAACCACCAGUAGUGGAGUCAAUAAUAAGGACAGCACAGUCAGCCUGGGAGGUUCCUGUGAUCAUGUUCUUAAUGAAGUCACGAUGACCAGGUGCAUCAAUGACUGUGCAGUAGUACUUGGUGGUCUCAAACUUCCACAGAGCAAUAUCAAUGGUGAUACCACGCUCACGCUCAGCCUUCAGCUUGUCCAAAACCCAUGCAUACUUGAAAGACCUCUUGUUCAUCUCCGCAGCCUCCUUUUCAAAUCUCUCAAUCACACGCUUAUCAAUUCCACCAAGCUUGUAAAUGAGAUGCCCGGUGGUGGUCGACUUGCCAGAGUCAACAUGACCAAUGACGACAAUGUUGAUAUGGACCUUCUCCUUACCCAUGGUUGCUGUAGGCAUUCAUAAAACAAAUGAAUCAGCAAAAGUAGGAAAACAUGAGAAGAUGGUAAAGCAGAUACCAAAUUCUAUUACAUACUGCAGUCCAUGCAUCUCAGCAACCAUGAAAACUAAAAUAAACUACAUUAUAAUCUUGCAAAGUUGGAGCAAACUAAAACAAACUGAUAUAAAACAGUACAGUUAAUUUGAAUAAAAAACUCUGAUAUUGUUGGCAUAGUUUAUAAAACAAAAAAUAGCUAGCCAAAUAUCUCAACAGACUAGCAUUGUGUACCUGGACCAAAUAAAACAUAAGACAUAAAAGUAAAAGUACCAUCACCUGAUAUGGAUAUGACAAAAAAAUUGCCCUCAUCUAAUAUAUGUACAGGAGUAGGGGACCCAAGAGCUAAUAAAAAAAAAUAACUCAAGAUAAUGAUAACUCCCUGUUUCUGAAAUUUCAUAUAUGCCUCCAGAACAAAGCCAUCAAGAUGUAAUUAACAUUUUCUUGCAGCUGAAAGAAGAGGCAAAACCCACUUGAAUGAUAUGCAACAAAAAAAGUGUUCUUGAAUUUUUAAUAUGUGCAAGAAAUAAUGGGUAUAUACACUAUGGAAAAAACAAUAUAGAAAUUCAUAAACUGGCAAAAAACCUAAUUCCUCCAAAACACACACUAAGCUUUUUNNNNNNNNNNNNNNNNNNNNAAACAAAGCAUUCAUGCAAAUCUUACAUAAAUAUAUCCAGAAGAGUCAGAAAAUAAAACAACCCUGAAAGACCGAGGGGCCAACUCCACACAAGUCCAAAAAGAACAUCCUCUGUAUGCUCAACAACAUAAACGGUCACCCAAUCAGUUGUCGUAUACCCCCCCCCCCAAACAAAAAAUAUGAUGAAUGGCAAGGUUGAUGCAGCCCAACAGCUAGAUCGCAAUGUCCUAUAGGAGAGGAUGGGAGAUGGCUCCAUGCAUGCAAUUCUGGAGUUAGAUUACUACAAUAGCAAUCUCCCUUAAUAGGGAUGUCAAUGGGCACCUGCCCCUACCCAUCCGGUAGAGCCUUUUUUUUUUUUUGUGGAAAAACCCACCAUGAGUUGAGUUGGGGUCUUGAUUUUGAAAACCCACAAUGGAUAGGAUCAAGUUGUGGAUUUACCCCUAACCCUAUCCUAUCUGACCCGUUACGUAUAUGUAUUUAUUAAAAUAUCCCCCUCCAUAAUAGCAUAUUUACAAAUAUACCUACGUACAUAUAUCAAAUUUGUUAGGGUCUUGGGCUUUUUUUGCUGUAGUAUGUAUCUGUUUGUAUUGUACAGAUUGAUGGUUGAAACAGGUUUUAGAACUUGUUUGAUUUAAAAUAGGUAUGAAACUUGAUAAAUUUGAAACAGAUUUGAUUGGUGGUGUUUGCAUUGUGCAUUUGCUUUGGUGGAUUGUGGAUAGAGGAGAGUACUACCCACCACCCGCAUGGGUAAGGUAAAGAUUUAAAAUCUCUACCUACCAUGGUGGAUAGGGUCAGAUGGUGCGUAGGGGGUGGGUAGAGUAUAGAUUUAGCAAAACUUGUACCCUAUCCUGUCCAUUGACAUCCCUAUCCCUCAAAUAAUAAGAUGGUCAGCGUGCAAGGUCCAACAAGCAUAAGCGAUCUCAGCCCACGUAGUACGAAGCUCUGUCUUGAGAAUGGUAGGCUCAUCGAAUCUGCUCCCUCCAACCGCAACAAGGUUCAAGCAUGACCCCCUGAUUACAAAACCAGCACCAUCCCGCCUGUCUCUGACACUACCAUUAGAGUUGACCUGGAGAUAUACCAGAGAUAGGUACUCUCAGGAGAUGAAAAUCCAUCAGACCGCUACAAAAGCAGGAUGGGAGUCUCAGAUCUCUAGAGACCUCAAGAUCACUUCAGUCAACUCCAUAGCCGAUAUGAGGGCAUGCUCCAAAGUCUCGUCGGCCACCAUCUGGACUCGAAGACCACUUCGUUCCUCGUCAGUCAAAUGUAAUAAGCAAUAUAGGCAACAUGGAUAGUAGUCGCUCUAAUUGCCUCACUCCAACGCUCUGCCAGAGGAACUCCAAAAAAGCCUAGUUCAGAGCCUCGACAUGAACAAACUGGUAGUGCUUGCCCGUGAUGUACCACACACCUGUCGGCCCACUGAACACUGAAAGAGGACAUGCUCCACUGUCUCAUCCUCAAAAUCGCAGUCUAUCCCUCAAGAUAGCUCUGAUCGGAAGCCAACCCCAAGCCACCUUCCAUAGAAAAAGACACCCUCGAAUGCACUCCUACCUCUAGCUCCAGCCAAUGUCCAAAUACCUAGUGGGCUCUUGCAAAAAUAGGUGGCAUGGAUCAGCCAUCAUCGCUGUCAGGAUGCAAGAGGAUCCCAGACUUUAACAUCUAAGCAUACGUGAGUGGGAAUUGCAAUGAAUCGCAUUCGCUCUCCUAUCUGCUCACCAAAGACAUGAGUGAGUGCCUCCUGAUUUCACUCGAUGCCGUCAGGCUAAAGCAAAUCACGAACACUCAAAAGGAUGUAGCAACCUCGAGGCAGAGAAAAGUCAACCAAUAGCUCAAUGAUAGGUCGGCCACCAAUAGGUCCCACAAAAGGUCCACUGACCUACCAUCCCCCAUUAGCCAUCUCGUCUAUUCAAUCACAUCAAGGGCUCGCAAACAAAUCUCCCUCCAGAGAAAAGAGCUGCUCUGACCGGCUCGAAUCCUCUCGUCCAUAAGCCAAAGACCAUACCUGACCCUCAUCAUUGAACUCCACUCUCCGACUCGAGCACUAUCCUGGCCAUAUGCCGAGCGAUCAAGACCUCCAAUCUCAUCACUAAGAAAUGAAUAUUCAAGCCACCAUCUCCCAACAACUAGCAAAUCACAUCCCAGGCCAAUAAAUGCACGCCCUGACCUUCCAGAUGUGAGCUCCACAGUAAGCGCCGAAAGUGCUUCUCCAACUUCAAAACCAAGGUCUUGGGCAGGAUCGAGUUCGAAAGAAGAUAAACUAGCAUAGAACUAAGAAUUGACCUCAUCAAAGUAACUCUAUCCAUCAUAAAGAAAGCUCUAGCCUGCCAGAACUGAGGUUGCUCGUGAAUCGCCUACUCCACGACUGCACACUUAGCCUCCUCAACCUACAACCAAAGAUGGGGACACCAAGGUACUGCAAGGGCCCACUGUGCUCCACAAUGCCAAGACUAUCCUUGAUCAUAUGCUGCAACUGGCUGGGCAUCCUCAAAUUGAAAUAUACUAUAGACUUGAGGAGGUUCACCUUCUAACCCGAGGCACUACAGUACUCCAUAAUCCUCCUUAAGCCGAUGAUGUUGCGAAUUGAUAUCCAGCACACCAACAAACAAUCAUCUACAAAGAGUAAAUGCGAGAUCAAUUGUAGGGGUGUGCAUUCGGUUUAAACCGAUCCAAAGUUUUGAAAAACCGAACUACCGAACUUACAUUUUGUAGAACCAAAAACCGAGCUGAAAUAGCUUAAAACCAAACAAACCAAACUGAAAUAAUUUUGGUUCAGUUCAGUAAUUCAGUUUUGGGCUUCUUUAUAUUGGGCUUUUGGUUUUGAUUUAGACUUAUUUAAUUCUUUAAUAGUUUCAUUAUUUGGGCUAUAGAAUUUCACUUGUGCCUAGUCUAGGUGGACCAUGAUUUAGAAAGGACAUGAUAAAUGAGUCUGAUUCAAAAUUAGACUAAAUAAAUAAUGAAAGAUAGUCUUUUUUUUUAAAAAAAAAUCACUUUGAGAUUGUCUCACGUUCUCCUAAACCUAAAUAUCAUCCAAAAAAAUAACAUCAAUCUGACUCACCUAAACAAAGCCUCAAAGAAAUAAAGAAAAAAAAAACACAAUCUAUACAAAUAUGUUCUCAAAAAUAAUAACAUUUGAAAAUGAACUACUCUAGACUCAAAACAGAAACCUCCUCUCACAGAGCACAUGCACGGUGGAUGGCGUGCAAUAGGGAAUUGGUCAAAUACAAGGGGUAACAUAGCGUGCUAUCUACCGUGAGAUUUGACACGAUCUAACUAGACCAUCUGGUUCAAAUAAUAUUUAACUCAAACAUAAAUAUUAAAUAAAAAAAAUCAGAUAAUUUCAAUUUUCGAUUAACCAAAAUUAUCAAAUUAAAUACCAAAGAUCGAACCAAUUAAAAAAUUUCGAUUCGAUUUGAAACCAAAACCAAAAUUUUCAAAAAAAAAAAAAUCAAACACCAAAAUAAUUAACGGUUUGGUUCAAUUUUUGGUUAACCGAACCAUUUGCACACCCCUGGUCAAUUGGAUCUCAGAAGCUGGCAUGUAUGGAUCGAGUACCAACCCCUCGAAUGCCACACGAAGAGCUCGCAAAAGGGCAUCAGUGCAAAUAAUGAAAAGAUAAAGAGACAUGACAACCUUGCCCCAAGCCAACAGCGGAAUAGAAGAAAUCCGAUGGUGUCCCAUUAAUCAGGAUGGCAAAAAAAGGGCUUUGGAUGCAAGCCAUGAUCCAGCCGAUCAAGGGUGGAAGCCAAAGUCCGUCAAGACCUCCUUGAGGAAGUGUCAGCUCAUCUAAUUGUAGGCCCGCUCUAUAUCAUGCUGGACCACCAUCAGACUUCCAUGAGAACAGGCACGACAAACAUAAUGCAUGAACUCUUGAACGAGAUGUUGUCGGAGAUGCUUCAUCUACCAAUGAAAGCCUCCUACUCAAGACAAAUCAACCAUGGGAAAAUAGACUUCAUCCUAUACACCAUCAUCUUUGCACACAUUUUGUAUAUAGUCGUGCACAAACUGAUUGAUCUAAAGUGCCCCAACUCCAAGGCAUUCCGCCACUUCGGAAGGAGAGUGAUAAAGGUCUACUUCCAGACUUCAGGCAUCUAACUAAUGGCAAAAAACUAUAUCACAACCAUAAUCUCAAGAUAGAUAAUCUGUCGAUAAUGCCUGAAGAACAAGGGAGAAGCCAUCUAAUCCUAAAGCUUUAUCCUUCGCGAUCGACCAAACCACUCACUACCAUGAGAUCUCUAUUUUCCUACUCCCUGACCAUCCUUCAAUGGAGGGGAACAAGAGUCUCAACCCCACCUAGAGGCAUCAUCCAUUAUGAUCUAAAGAAACAAAUGACCUGCCCAAUUUUCUCCACAGCUAUCAACCGCUGACCAUCGAUGUCCCUGAUCAGCCUAUUCUGAUUCUUGUGCCUACGGAUGAUGGUGAUUUUGUGAA